rnacentral:rRNA from 1 species
CGCGCAGGCGGUCUUGUCCGUCAGGUAUGAAAGCUCGGGGCUCAACCCCGGAAGUGCACUUGAAACAGCAAGACUUGAAUACGGGAGAGGAGAGAGGAAUUCCUGGUGUAGAGGUGAAAUUCGUAGAUAUCAAGAGGAACACCGAUGGCGAAGGCAUCUCUCUGGACCGAUAUUGACGCUGAGGCGCGAAGGCGUGGGUAGCGAACG